rnacentral:lncRNA from 1 species
AGUAUCAGCUGCUGGAGCCGGACUCCACCCACAACCUCAACCGAAAGGAGGACCCCUCCCGGACUCCUACAAAGGCCGAACUCCGACCACUGCCGAGCCUCGGUCAACAGAUCCGCGCCCCCUGGCGGAUUACAAUAACAACCAUGAUCCUGUUCCACUUCCUGUAGCGGAUUCCGCGCGGCUUCAUCACCCCCUGCGGCGGACCCAUUACUCUCUG